rnacentral:rRNA from 1 species
GAGACAGCAGUAGCCGCGGUAACACGGAGGGCGCGAGCGUUACCCGGAUUUACUGGGCGUAAAGGGCGUGUAGGCGGCCUGGGGCGUCCCAUGUGAAAGGCCACGGCUCAACCGUGGAGGAGCGUGGGAUACGCUCAGGCUAGAGGGUGGGAGAGGGUGGUGGAAUUCCCGGAGUAGCGGUGAAAUGCGCAGAUACCGGGAGGAACGCCGAUGGCGAAGGCAGCCACCUGGUCCACUUCUGACGCUGAGGCGCGAAAGCGUGGGGAGCAAACCGGAUUAGAUACCCGAGUAGUCCCUGUCUCUUAUAC